rnacentral:lncRNA from 10 species
AAAAUAGCACUGUCUUAGUCUGGGUUUCCUCAGAAGUGGACCCUGAGGCGACAUCUCAAAGGAGUUUCUUAGAGAGCAUUGACAAGAAAACCCCACUGUUGGGGAGUGAGGAGGGAUGAAAGCCCAACCAGCUGCAAUAUCAACAAAGACCCAGGCAGGGUUAUGCCCACUCAAUCCCACGGGGAGCUCUGGACAGUGAGGCUUAUGCCCACAGGUGUCUGAUCAGGGGGCAGGAAAGCUGCAGGGUUUAUGCCCUCAUAACUGUCAGUCCUUGGCCAUGAGUGUGCACCUCGAGGCAGCCCUCGCAGCAGGGGCUAUGGAGAGUCUUUGUGGGCCUGGGACCGAGAGGAUAAGGCAGAGGACUCGUAGAUCUGUUACAGGUGACAUUUUAAGCUCGCCAAGCCAGGGUCCAAAUGGAGUGAGGCAGCAGAGACGAGGGGCCUGGGCAGGAGCUAUCCUGCAAGAGCCUGGAGUCUGCAGGAGGCAGUGGCUGCUCCAGCUGGCUUGACAUUUGGGGCUAAGGAUUUGCCGAGGACCGUUUCACAGAUACAUUUUGUAGAGGCUGCACUGAGCCUCCUGGACUGAAAUGCAGUACAAUACUCUGUGUUGCUUUGAUUUCACCUCUGGUGCAGGCUGCGUGGGCAUGAUUGUAAGGAGCCUGUGUUUUCCCUUGAAGACAAAAGGAAAGAUGAGCCACUGCCUUAUCCACACAUAUCCUCAUUUAAAACCUGCUGCUACCUUUUGAAAAUGUAUUGAGAUGUAUGUUAAUGAUUUUCACAAUCAUCUGUAUUUGUUACUCUUCAGUAAAAUAUUGACAAAUAAACAUAGCAUCACAUUUUACAAAUCA